GAUGAAGAACGUAGUGAAAUGCGAUACGUAAUGUGAAUUGCAGAAUUCAGUGAAUCAUCGAGUCUUUGAACGCACAUUGCGCCCUCUGGUAUUCCGGAGGGCAUGCCUGUCCGAGCGUCAUUGCUGCCCUCAAGCACGGCUUGUGUGUUGGGCUCCGUCCUCCUUCCGGGGGACGGGCCCGAAAGGCAGCGGCGGCACCGCGUCCGGUCCUCAAGCGUAUGGGGCUUUGUCACCCGCUUUGUAGGACUGGCCGGCGCCUGCCGAUCAACCAAACUUUUUUCCAGGUUGACCUCGGAUCAGGUAGGGAUACCCGCUGAACUUAAGCAUAUCAAUAAGCGGAGGA
rnacentral:misc_RNA from 1 species